UGCCCUGGAUACGGGGCAUGCGCAGAGCCCUCCCCUUCCCAAGGCCCGUGAGGAGUGGGCGGGGAUUCUGGACGAUAGGGUAGGAAGACUGAAGAGGAACUCCAGGAGUAGGAUGAGUGCUGUUGUCAGCUUUGGUCAAAAGGGUUCGUUUUGCUCGAGAGUUACAAAGAGGACAUCACCAUUGAAGGCAGGAACAAAACAGUCCCAACAGCGACACUGCCAGUUCAAAGCCACAUCUCUUCAAAGAGGAUGAAAGCAGAAACUGAACAAAAACUUCUUUCCUGGAGUUUAACUGUGGAAGGAUGGCAGGGAUGGACCAGGCUGCUUACAUGCAGUCGUGACCCCUGUUUGUAAAUGCUCUCAAGAGUCUCCACAUUUAAUUGUUGCUGCUAGAUCUCAUGCCUUGUGAAAUUGCGUUGUCAAUCAUUCUGAGGAACUGAAGAACUGCAAGUCUUAGAGGACAUGAAGAGUGUUGUUAUAUCUCUUCCAUACCUGCAUUUCGCUGCUCAGGAGAAGUCAGCUUAACCCUGCACCACAAAAGCCAGUGAAGGAGAGACAAGGGCUUUGUCCUGGAUGCAUUCACAUUCUCCACUGGAUGGCAGCCAGCACGUAUGGGAGGUGGAGCAGUGCUGGGCCCACUUGGCUGCGGACUUUCCUUGCUGAUGGUUCCUUUGGCUCCUGGAGUCUGUUCUUCCUACAAGUUCUCAUAGCAGGCUGAGAGGACCAAGGAAUCAACUGUCUUCCACCUAGAACAACCCUCAAUCAAUGGCUGACAAGCUGCAUAAAUCUAAUGUCCAUACCC